rnacentral:lncRNA from 10 species
GAAGCUGUGGGAGGAGUGCAGGGAUACAGGUGGUCUGGAUUAGGGGCUUCCAUCCAAAGUGCCAGAGAAGGGGCUUGGCAUCGCACAGGGCUGGAGAACAUGACCACUGCCCACCUGUCUGCCUUCAAACUUCCUGAUCUAACUGCCACUUACCAAGCCUACCUGGCAGCCAAAGCCCUGUGGGUUGCCUAUCAGAACUUGAUGUCCUGCUCUGAGAGAGAGGGACCAUUCCUGGGAGGCACGUAUGCCAAUGCAUGGGAAGCCAGGCUUUCUCAGGUGCUCCAUUAUGCCUGAAAGGUUAACUUCACCACCAAAGCCCAAGAAGAGGUUUUCUUCGCCAAAGAUGGGGAAGUGCUGACAACGUUUGACAUUAAAAACAUCUAUGUUCUCCCAGACCUGUCAGGACAGACAGCCAUUGUUGGACACUUUGACUUCAGAGCACCUUCUGGAAAAGAGCUUCUGUUGGAUGACAGCGCAAUUGUCUGGGCAGAAGGACCCUUAAAGAUUAGAGCUGAGAGAACCCUAAGAACCAAGACCACACAGCACCUCUCACAUCCCAAGCUCCAGGAGAAUCGCUUGAACCCGGGAGGCGGAGGUUGCAGUGAGCCAAGAUUGUGCCACUGAACUCCAGCCUGGGUGACAGAGUGAGGUCCUGUCUCAAAAAAACAAACAAACAAAAAAUACAUAUUAUUACUACAACUUGAGUAUCCCUUAUCCGAAUUGCUUGGGACCAGAAGUGUUUUGGAUUUCAGAUUUUUUCAGAUUUUGAAAUAUUUGCAUAUGCAUAAGGAAAUAUCUUGGGGAUAGGAUCCAAGUCUAAAUAUGAAAUUCAUUUAUGUUUCAUAUACCACUUAUACACAUAGUCUGAAGGUAAUUUUUUACAAUAUUUUUAACUAUAUCAUGCAUGAAACAAAGUUUGUUUAUGUCAAGUCAGGUGUGGAAUUUUCCACUUGAGGCAUCAUGUUGGCACUCAAAAAGUUUUGGAUUUUGGAGCAUUCCAGAUUUCAGAUUUUCAAAUUAGGGAUGCCCCAUCUAUAUCUCCAUUUUAUUGAAGAGGAAUCUGAAGCUUAGAGAUGUUAAGCCCAAGGCACGCAAACCAUAAAGGGCAGAACCAGAAUUCCAACCAUCAAGAUGUCUUGUUUUCCCACCACACUCGAAAUCCGGAAGAGCUUAUUCUUACCUAUCACUGUUUCCCUAACACCCUGUACAGUACCUGAUAUACGGAACACAUUUUUAAUUAUCUGAGCAAGAAAUGGAGAAAGAGGAAAAUGAAAGAGAGUAGAAAAGGAAAACGUGAUAAAGAGGGGUUUAAUAAAGGAAGGAGUAAGAGAAAGAAAGAGAGAGAGGGACCUAGUAAGUGAAAACGAUGAGGCUUAUUCCUCCACGACCUGACUGCACAGAUGUCGCUCAAUUCCCCCUGCAGUCUCCCCAGCACUCUCUCCCCUCCACUCUCCCACCUCUUGUGUGUAGGUCCCUUCCUCUGUCUGCAACGAAAAACGUCCUGUGGAAACCAGGAAGUCAACCCUAUUUGAGAAGUCAAAAUGCUGCUACAAAAGCCUUCCCUGACCCAGAAGAGAAAUCGCAAUGUCACCAGGUAAGGAGGGAGGCUGGUUCUUGGUCAGAGGGUGGCCAGCCAUCAGCCAGAGUAGACUUCAGAUGAAAGCUGUGUCCACAUCAAGGAAAUUCCUUCAAUGGAAAAGUCCAGGGAAGUCGAGACCAAAAAGAAGAUGUCAAUGUGACCUUCCUAGAUGCUACAUUAAAGCCAUUUGAGGCUAUUAAAUUCAUUCUUUCUUUUAUCAACCAUGAGUUUGUUCAAAUCCUGUACUUAGUUUAACAUUUGCCAUAUGGUAGGCAUUUCAUAAAUGUUUAAAAAGAAUUACCCUAAUGACAUAAUCUUUAUUUUACUAAGAUGUCAUUCAUUCAACAGAUAUCAACUGGCACCAACCAUAUACAACCACUGUGCUGGGUGCAAGGGUACCAACAACAAAUAAGCCAUGGUCCUGGACCCACAGAGCUCAGGAUAUAUUAAAAGAGAAUGAUACUGGACCCCUACACCUAGCACAGCUCAUCUCUCAAUAAAGAAACUAGACUAUAAAGUGAAGUCAAUACUGUAAUAAAUAAAUAAAUAUUCAAGCAUCGAGCUGUGAAAGCACGUUGGAACAAUUAAUUCUAACAAAUAGGCAGGGAGACUUGGCAAUGCAAGGGGUGGCAUGUGACACAGGCCUUAAACAACAAGCAAGGUUUCAAAGGCAAUGAAGCAUAAUAAGGAUAUUCCAGGCCAAGGAGGAAGUUAUUAUAGUAAAGGCAUGAAAGCAAUAAGGAGCUGAGAGUGGUUUCAGCAUCAAUUGUGAUGCAAGAUAUAGGAAGCAGGUGGUCAGAUCAUAGAGGACUUUACCUGCUGGACUCUGGAGCAUGGACUCUAUUCUAUAGAAAAUGGGGAGGAGCCUCUGAACUACUUCAGUAUAAAAGCAAUGUGUAUUUCAGUGUGUGUCUUGGGGAAAUGAAUAGACAAAUAGACAAAGGAGGGAGAUUGGAGCAGGAAGACCAGGUUCAGAAUCCAGGUAAUUGUUGAAGCCACAGGUUUGGAUGAAGUCUCUUCAAAACUCUCCCUGGGAAAGUAGAGACUUUGGAAAUACCUUUUGCCCUUUUGAAGAGAAAGUUUCCACCGAAUGAAGCUGAGAAGGAACCACCAGGUGCUGAAGAGAGGAUGACACAAAUGAGAAAUCCUUGAACUUAGACACUAGGAAGACAUGGAAUCAAAGUAUCUAGGACCCUACAAAUAUAUCCAAAUCAAGGAAAGAGAUCAAAUUGUCCCUAUUUGCAGACGACAU